AAGGGUGAACGACCUGUGUGUCCC
rnacentral:siRNA from 1 species